rnacentral:rRNA from 1 species
UGGCGAACGGGUGAGUAAUACAUCGGAACAUGCCCAAUCGUGGGGGAUAACGUAGCGAAAGUUACGCUAAUACCGCAUAAGAUCUACGGAUGAAAGCGGGGGACCGUAAGGCCUCGCGCGAUUGGAGUGGCUGAUGUCAGAUUAGCUAGUUGGUAGGGUAAAAGCCUACCAAGGCAACGAUCUGUAGCUGGUCUGAGAGGACGACCAGCCACACUGGGACUGAGACACGGCCCAGACUCCUACGGGAGGCAGCAGUGGGGAAUUUUGGACAAUGGACGAAAGUCUGAUCCAGCAAUGCCGCGUGCAGGACGAAGGCCUUCGGGUUGUAAACUGCUUUUGUACGGAACGAAAAAGUCUUUUUUAAUAAAGAAGGCUUAUGACGGUACCGUAAGAAUAAGCACCGGCUAACUACGUGCCAGCAGCCGCGGUAAUACGUAGGGUGCGAGCGUUAAUCGGAAUUACUGGGCGUAAAGCGUCCGCAGGCGGUUCUAUAAGACAGAUGUGAAAUCCCUGGGCUCAACCUAGGAACUGCAUUUGUGAC